UACGUAGGGGGCUAGCGUUGUCCGGAAUCAUUGGGCGUAAAGAGCGCGUAGGCGGCCAGAUAAGUCCGGUGUGAAAGUCAAAGGCUCAACCUUUGAAUGCCGCUGGAAACUGUCUGGCUAGAGUCCGGGAGGGGCGAGUGGAAUUCCUGGUGUAGCGGUGAAAUGCGCAGAUAUCAGGAGGAAUACCGGUGGCGAAGGCGGCAUCCUGGACCGGCAUUGACGCUGAGGAGCGAAAGCUAGGGGAGCAAACGGG
rnacentral:rRNA from 1 species